rnacentral:lncRNA from 1 species
AAACAACGAUAUAUUCAAAAGAAGUACCUUGAUAGGAAGUUAUGCCUAUUGCUAAACCACAACUUGACAACAUUGAUGUAAAUAUAUAUGACCAAGUCAUACUUCCAUAAUACAGAAUCAAGUAACAUUGAUCCCACAAAAAGUUUUAGCUUCAGAGCAGGAUAAUGAUCUAUCUUUGUCCUUGUAUCCUUUUUCUUCUCUAAACUCGAGUGUGAUGCCUUUCUCAUAUUCAUUUAUCAUGUGCUUCUCCAAUGACAAUUUUUCAUUCGCAAACUAUGUAGCCACAGUUUAUUACCUCUCUCACCCUAUCUCGAUCUUAGCUUUAACUUAAAUUAUUCAAGGACGACAACUGCUAAGAAUGCAGAAACACAAACUGACUCAUACAAAACUAUGGAGGACAAUUUUUCAACAAUUCAGAGCUCACAAUUCUCUGUAUCCAAAGAAUUUUAUAUGAACCUUGUGUCCAUGGUCCAACGCCAAACAACAGACCAACAGGAUAAUAUCAUGUGUGCCUUAUGUCAUCUGAAACAAAGGACAAACUGUAAAGAUAUUAUCAAUGAUUAUACCUCUUCAAGAAAAUAUUGGUGAUGCCCCCGCUGCAUUACAAAGUACGUUAAUGGAAGAUUCAUGUUAAUGAAAAUGAAAAUAGUGUGUAUUCCAUAUCAGGCAGCUUUGUUUUGUAACCUUUUAACUCAACUUCAGUGUGGUUUGAUUGCCAUUGAUGGCCUUAUUUAUGAAGUCGGACAUGGUGCCUUAUCUGUCAAAAAAAGAACUAACCUGGUUCAGUUUUGCUAUAUUAAAGAAAAUAUCGUUCUAGAAUGCAGAUGACUAACCCCAUACAUAUUUUAAAUAAUAAUAAAAAUACUAUGAUGAUGCAUUCUUUAUCAUCUAUCAAUAAAACAAUGGGAUGAAGAAAAGAAAUUAAGUAUGAACAAAUCAGACAGGAUCACAACAUGAUAUAUAUUGAGUAAGCAUGAACCUCGAUACAAAGAAAAAGAAAGAUCAUGGCCAAUGAAAUAUAUAUCUGCUCAAAUUUUUUAUUCCAAUGUCAAGCAAAGGAAUUUCUUUACUUAGGAAAUAAUGUUUCAUGUCACACACACCAAAGUGAGGAACAUGAUUUCUUCAUCUUUACUUGCGAAGAUCAACAAAUUAUUGUGCUUACCUGAUACAAUUAUGUUCUUUUAGUUGGACCAUUCCCUAUCAUCCUCGGGGAUAUCCUGUAGAAUAAUAAAUACGGAAAUCCAUCGUCAUAAAAAAUAUGCAGCAGAAAUCAUGCACAGAGAGUAGGGUAAUAAACCAAAUGUAAGGAUGAACCUUCGUGGUGGAAAAAAUCUCACUGAAGAAAUGAGGUCAUAACUAACUGAUGCACACUUUUGACAAUGAGGCCAAACAAACUCCAAGGGUCUUGGGUCAAAAUCAGAGCAGCCAAAGAGAAACUUUUCUAUGUCGAGUCUAUCCCUACCGCACAUAAGCUGGAGGCUUGCAUGGAAUAUUGUUUUCUUGAAUUCUAGUCAGAUCAUUAACACACCACAGACAGAAGGGAAACCAAAUAGCAACGACGAACAAUUCAGUUUGCAACUAAGGAAAAGAAUUGCUGAAUUACAAACCCGAAAGAGGGAAGCACUAAGUUAGUUUCUGCAAAAUAGGAAAAUUUGUAUUGUUCUAACACUAAUAGAUUACAAAAAAAAAUCUGUUCAAUAGAAAAUUAGGCUUGAUGCACUCAAUACCCUUUAACAGGCAAUAGUGUGGUUGGCCUUAGGACUGCACAACCUCUAGGAAGCUAUCUAUUUAUGAAUGGAGGUAGUAUGAAACAGAGAUAUAGUCCAUGAUUUAAUCUGUUGAUAUACUAAUUACAGCAACAUGCAUGUGGAGCAAGAGGGGGCACAAUCUCGUGUUGUUGCUCUCUGAAAUAGAGAACACUUUUAUAUUGCUCAACAUGGUGGCUGAAAUAGUAUGUCCAACUGGUGGUGAGAAGGAUGACCCCGGCUCCCAGCUCACCACACACCGAAAAUUGGUAACUUAUUUCCAGGAUCAAACCAUUUGGAAGCUCUGUAUUUUACAAUGAAAAAACCCAAAACAAGUUUUAUAGUGGCAACCUAAUUAAGAACAUGCUUUCCUCAGUCAGAUAAUCAUUUAACGAAAAAAGAGAAAGGAUCUAGAGCACAUCACACAAGUCUACUGAGAUCAGGAGCGGACAAGAACGGACAUUCAUAUUUCAUUAUCAAUACCUGCUAUACUAUACACAGCCUGUAAAAAACCUAAACUUUCAAAUGUUGUGAAACCAAAAGAAAACACACUAUAAAGAGAUGUAAAAGGGACAUGCUCGUUAAACUUUGCAAUCUCUUCCAAGGAAUUUUUAUGAAAAGAAAAUGUAAUGGGUCUCAUUGUCAAGAAACUCAUGAUUCCCAAUAGCAGACCAUGAUAUUAGUUUCUGUAGUAACAUAAUACAAAUCAUACCUUCAAAUGUUGCUUGUAGUCGCUUUCUUUUAGAAUUUCCUUCAUUGACCA